UUUAGCUCAUUGGGGAGAGCAGCUAAUGAGAGCACCUCCUCACAGGGAGAAUUGCUACUCUCAUUUGCCUCACAGUCCAUCUGGAGUCACUCCUUGUCUUUCCAUGCAGUGACUCUGGAUUAACAAUGUUCUCAAUGAAACCAGAUUUCAGAAAGAAUGAGUCCAGAAUGCUGUGGAAGAGACCAUUGUGUGGCAAUGCUGACCCCCUUCCCACCUCCCUCACCCCCUAGAUCUAGAACAAGGACUGGGGGGCAUGAAUAUUCCCAAUAGAACUGGAAGUUCCUGCAGUUUUCAAGAGUAGAAAAAAGCAAAAUCUGUGA